AUGGCGCCGCCGGUGCUGGAGGUGGCGCAGGCCAUCGCCGUGGAGGGGAAGAAGGGCGCAAAGGGGGAGGUCAAGUGGCUGAAGCACUACUCCUUGGCGCAGAGCAUCCUGGUCGUCGGCGACGGGGACUUCUCCUUCUCGCGGUCGCUCGCCACCGCCUUCGGCUCCGGCGAGAACCUCGUCGCCACGUCCCUCGACUCCUACGGUUAUCUGAGAAUCAUGUACAGCCAUGCGGAAUCGAAUGUAACGUCGCUGAAAAAGAUGGGCGCCACAGUCUUGCAUGAUGUCGACGCGACAGAGAUGAAGAGUCACGCCCAUCAUGCUCUUAAUCGUUUCGACCGGAUCGUGUUCAACUUUCCUCAUGCUGGUUUCACUGGACGCGAGACCACGUCCAAUAUGGUCAAUUCGCACAAGAAGCUCGUGAUGGCCUGCUUCCGCAGUGCAAGUAGCCUGCUUCGUCCUGACGGCGAAAUCCACGUCACUCACAGGACGGGACAUCCGUACUACAGAUGGGAGAUCGAGCAAUUGGCCUCUGAGUCUGCACUUGUCAUGUUUGAGAAGGACUUUUUCUGGAAAUACGAUUACCCUGGUUACAACCAAAAGAGAGGAUCUGGCUUGAGGUGCGACAAAGAUUUCCCCAUAGAUGGUAGCUGCACUUUCAAGUUCCGCAUGGAGCGCAAAGUGGACGAAAGUGCGUCGAUUCCUCUUGCUGCUGCAUUGGAUCUGAUGAAGCUUGAGGCUGUAACCAGCUCCGCCUAG
rnacentral:rRNA from 1 species